rnacentral:rRNA from 1 species
AGUGAACGCUGGCGGCAGGCCUAACACAUGCCAGUCGAACGAACCUUUCGGGGUUAGUGGCGGACGGGGGUGUAGCACGUGGGAACGGGCCCUUAGGUUCGGAAUAACUCAGGGAAACUUGUGCUAAUACCGAAUGUGCCCUUCGGGGGAAAGAUUUAUCGCCUCUAGAGCGGCCCGCGUCUGAUUAGCUAGUUGGUUGAGGUAAUGGCUCACCAAGGCGACGAUCAGUAGCUGGUCUGAGAGGAUGAUCAGCCACAUUGGGACUGAGACACGGCCCAGACUCCUACGGGAGGCAGCAGUGGGGAAUCUUGCGCAAUGGGCGAAAGCCUGACGCAGCCAUGCCGCGUGAAUGAUGAAGGUCUUAGGAUUGUAAAAUUCUUUCAACGGGGACGAUAAUGACGGUACCCGGAGAAGAAGCCCCGGCUAACUUCGUG